rnacentral:misc_RNA from 1 species
GUAGGUGAACCUGCGGAAGGAUCAUUACCAAAUCCAAAAAACUUUAUCAACCCUUUGUGUGCACCGAGAAUGGUUACGUUUCCCCCUGUUCCCACCCCCCGCCUGCACUUGCUGUUGGCGGGAGAAAGAGGAGGGGGAGAUGACUUUUUUUUCCAACCCCUUUCCAACCAUUUUAUCCAACAUUACAUCUAUGCUGAAAGCAAAAAAAAACGAAACAUGAGACAACUUUUAACGGUGGAUCUCUUGGCUC